UCACGCGUACGGAUGACGUGGCGCCUCCAACAUCCUUAUACCACAACUGACCGCCUUAAGAAAAGCGCGUCUAAUACCGCCGCCAUCUUUUUUCAACUGCCUAUCACCACCGUCAUCUGUUCACCGCUUGUCUAUAAAUAAAGCCGAAGAAUCUCCUCCCUAGACGUUCUCCAAAGCAGGUAUCAGCUCCUUACUAGGUUUUUGAUCGCCCGAUUUCGAGAUUUCGAGGUCCUUUCCUGAGUUUCUCAGGAAUUGUAGGUUAUUUUUUUUUCGCGAUCUCUCUGUUGAUGAUUCUUUCGGCUUCUGCGGUAGUGAUCCGUGCAUGAGAAUUGAAUUUUCAGUCUCCUGUUUUGCUGAGAUUGCCAUCCAAUCUUGUGGUCAGUUAUAUAUAUUUGGGAUUUUUUUGGUUCUUGAGGGUUUGGAAUUGAGACGAUCGAUCCUUUAGAUUACAGAAUUGAGACGAUUCUAUGAUGUUUUGGAGUUGAGUUUAUCGACGUUGUUUUUAUCUUCUACGCCGUCUUGCUCUCUCUAUCUACAUGUUUUUUUGGUACUCGAGGGUUUGGAAUUGAGAUGAUGGAUCCUUUUAGAUUGCGGAAUUGAGACGAUUCUUUGAGAUUUUGGAGUCGAGAUGAUCGAUGUUGCUUUUAUUUUCUAUGCUUGUCUUGCUCUCUCUAUCUAUAUGUUUUUAUUUCCUUAUAUCUUGGGUAUCCGUUCUUCCUGAAGGUCUUUCUUUCUCAUUCGUGGCUUCAUUUAUGUUCUGUAGUUUUUCUUUCAAUGAUGUUGCGGCAGAUCUGAUGUGGCUUCCAUUGGAGGAGGAAAUAUUAGUCCUUCGUUAACAAGAUCUGCUCGGAGUUGUUGAUUGCAACCGAUAUUCAACCACGGCCUUGUUUUGUCUAAGAAAGGGGGUCUUCUUGAGGAGUUUUGCUUCAUCUGGAUUUUUCUUUUCGUACCUCACUUUUUUGGUGAAUCUAUGUUGAGUGCCUCUGUUGGUUUAUUCAUUCUUCAGGGAGAGCAAGCUUCAUUGGGGCCCGCGUUAGGACACAGCGACCUUCCCUAUUAUUGUAAAAGGGGUUCUUUCUAAUCUUAUAAAUGUGCUUUGGCAUUGCUUAUUUUGUGUUGCUCGUUUCUGUAUGCAUUCAGUAUGUUGGAAUUUCUAAAUGGCUCUGAUUUGGAUCUCAGGGCCGUGGAAUUAUCUUUAUCCAUCGACUAAUACAGCAAUUUGCAACAUGGUUUAUCGUCAAAGGGGGUUUCAUUGCUGAAAAUUUUGUCUUUGGUUCUGUUGGUGUGUUUUUAUGUCAAAUUUGUGAAACUAUGUGCCAUGUUUGGCUUUUCAGGUUGCCGUUGGCAAUGGAUUAUCGACAAGUAUAAGAUGCCAAUUAGAAAUGGAUGGCCAAGAUGCUUGUCAAAUUUUUCCUUAUCAAGGAUAAGUCUUCUGGGUACUUGGUCUAGAUUCUCCACUUCCAAUAUCCAGUGAGAGGGCACUGAAUCCGUAGACCAUGUCUUGCAUUUCCCAAAUACCAGCCAGAUUUGAUUCCAGAUUUUGAGAUCUUUUAAGUGCAAUGGUGCGGCCCUUAGUCAGUGCUGCAACUAUUAUGGGUGUGACUCGAAGUGCAUCUUACCAAAGGUCAAGCUGUCCAUGUGGAGGUUAUGCCUGCUUGCAAGUCUCUGGAAUUUUUGAGGAGAACAUGAUGCUUGGUGUUUCGACAACGCCCACAAGUCGGAAGCUAUGCCUACUUGGUAGUCUGUGGAAUGUUCGAGAACAUAACACUUAGUGUUUUGACAAUGCCCCCAGAGAAAUAGAUGGCCAAGAUGCUUGUCAAAAUUUUCCUUAACGUCUUCAGAGAAACAGAUGGUCAUGGUCUUUAACAAUGAUAAGUCUUCUGGGUUCUUGGUCUAGAUUCUCCACUUCCAAUAUCCAGUGAGAGGGCACCGAAUCCGUAGUCCAUCUCUUGCAUUGCCCAUUUACUAGCCAGAUUUGGUUCCAGAUUUUGAGAUCUUUUAAGUGCAAUGGUGCUGCCCUUAGUGCUGCAACUAUUAUGGGCGUGGCAGGGAGUGCAUCUUACCAAAGGUCAAGCUGUCAAUGUGGAGUUUAUGCCUGCUUGCUAGUCUGUGGAAUAUUUGGGGAGAACAUGAAGCUUGGUGUUUCAACAGUGCAAUGGUGCUGCCCUUAGUGCUGCAACUAUUAUGGGCGUGGCCGGGAGUGCAUCUUACCAAAGUUCAAGCUGUCCAUGUGGAGGUUAUGCCUGCUUGCUAGUCUGUGGAAUAUUUGGGGAGAACAUGAUGCUUGGUGUUUUGACAACGCCCACAAUUUGGAGGCUAUGCCUGCUUGGUAGUCUGUGGAAUGUUCGUGAACAUAAUGCUUGGUGUUUUGACAAUGCCCACAACUUGGAGGUUAUUCCUGCUUGCUAGUCUGUGGAAUAUUUGGGAAGAACAAUGCCCACAAUUUGAAGGUUAUGCCUGCUUGCUAGUCUGUGGAAUAUUUGGGGAGAAUGUAAUGCAUGGUGUUUCGACAAUGCCCACAAUUCAUGGGAUGAGAUGCCUUUUGAGUGGGCCGUGGUUCUUCUGAACAUUGACUUGAAUGUUUCUCACUCUAUUCUGUUAAAUUAAUAUCCUGUAUUUUGUUUUUUGGCUGGCUUAUGCUGGUCUGAUUUUUAAUAAAAUUUCAUUCAUAGCUCUUCCAAAAAAGAAGAAGUCUCACACUGCUAUUCUUAUGAUUAGUAUGUAUUCUAGAUGUUUUUUUACGUCC